UACGAAGGGUGCAAGCGUUAAUCGGAAUUACUGGGCGUAAAGCGUGCGUAGGCGGUUGCUUAAGUCAGGUGUGAAAGCCCCGGGCUCAACCUGGGAACUGCAUUGGAAACUAACGGGCUCGAGUGUGGCAGAGGGGGGUGGAAUUCCACGUGUAGCAGUGAAAUGCGUAGAGAUGUGGAGGAACACCGAUGGCGAAGGCAGCCCCCUGGGCUAACACUGACGCUCAGGCACGAAAGCGUGGGGAGCAAACAGG
rnacentral:rRNA from 1 species